rnacentral:Y_RNA from 1 species
GUCUGGUCUGGGAUGAAGUGGCAGUCCUCCACACUCUGUUUAAGGGGUCCAUGUACUCUUUCCCCCUUCUCACUACUGCACUUGACUAGUCUUAA